rnacentral:rRNA from 1 species
UAUGCCCAGUAACGGCGAGUGAGCGGCAAAGCUCAAAAUUUGAAAUCCUGCGGGAAUUGUAAAAAGGAGGUUGACGUGGUCUGAGUCGGCCGCGCCCAAGUCUAUUGGAACAUGGCGCCUGGGAGGGUGAGAGCCCCGUAUGGCGCACGCCGACUCUUUGCACCGCGGCUCCGACGAGUCGAGUUGUUUGGGAAUGCAGCUCUAAGUGGGUGGUAAAUUCCAUCUAAAGCUAAAUAUUGGCGAGAGACCGAUAGCGAACAAGUACAGUGAUGGAAAGAUGAAAAGCACUUUGAAAAGAGAGUGAAACAGCACGUGAAAUUGUUGAAAGGGAAGGGCUUGCAAGCAGACACG